UUUUUUUUCUUUGCCUCUCUUUUAUUGCUUACUUUUCUUAAUAGUGAUACUAUUUUAACCUACCAUUUAAUUUAGGGCUUGGGUUGCUGUUGCUUUGCUCUGCCGUUUCUUCUCUGGUAGUUAAGGCCAUUAGGUGAAGAUGAUGCCUGCAGCAUUACCAUCCAAACAGUUCCUGAAUAUCUUUCCAUAUAAAUGAAGCUUCAAAGCACAAAUAUCCAUCUUCCUUUUAAUCAGUCAGGCGAGGCAGAGGCCCACAGGCCAAAUGUUUCUCUAAGAGAGAUGCAGCCCUGCAAACCACCCUCAUGAAAGCUGGAGGGAGAAGCAAGCAGUGACAUUUUUAACUACUGUGGCAAAGGUUACACGGUGACUCAGUGGCAAGUUUUUCACCCCAGAUCACAUGCUGUUGAUCCCAUGCAAGAGACUGAACAAAAAUUUUGCCCAGCUGCUACCAAAAGACUCAACAAAACAUAUGAAAAACAACUGGAUUUGGAGAAUGGUUUGUAAAGAAGAUUUACCUGAUGACAGCUGCAAAUUCAAGCCGUAGAGACCUGGAAGACCAGCCCUCAACUGGACCCUGCUGUGACCUGAAUAUUUGUGUUUUAAGUCGUUUGCUUUUUCAGUAAAGGCAUCUUAAAUGAUCACUCUUUAACCCACAAUCUCUUUUGUCUUUUUUUCAGUGUCUGUGCCAUAAAGCCAUAAAACAAAGACAAGGCACAAACAAAUGGGGACCUAGUGAUACAUUCUAGGGAGCAGAGUGCCCUCUUGCACACCGUGAAAGCUUUAAAUCCCGAUUGUUUACAUCUGAAAAAAAUACAGUAGGAUUAGUGGCAAAAGAGCUUUUUCCAAAGUAAUACAAGACAGCUUUCAGAUGGAUGGGGAAAAGCUGCUGAGGAGGUGAGUGCAGGGACAGGCCUAAAACUAGGAACAGCACUCCUGUGGUGUUCUCCAGUGCCACUGCCACUAGAUGUCACAGUGGAACAGCAAGAGGAGCCUGGAGUGUGGCUUGGUGCUUCUUGCUGUAAUUGUGAAAUGCCUUUAAAUUUGUCUUGGCACAUCCAUAGUGUCUCCAUGCAGCUUUGAUCCUGCAGAUUUCAAAGCUCCGUGUGGUGCAAAGGGACAUUAUGCAACAUUUCCACACGAGUGCAGGGAAACCCAGUGCAGGGAGCUGCGGGGGUUAUGGGCUUUUUUCUUUUCUUUUUUUUCCCCCUCUACUUGAGCUCCUCUCCCAAAGCCACACAGGGCUUUUAAGGACUCUGAGCCGGUGGUGAUGCACUGAGAUGCUCUCUCUCACGCUCUCUUGGGAUGAGUAUCCUACUCUGUUGCACCUGUGCCAAGCCUUGUUAAAUGGAGCUUGGGUUCACCAUUGCUUAGUUACACAAUGUACUUCUCCCUGGAGUCAUGAGAUCUCCAAGGAAGGCUGUGUGCAAGAGGAUUAGCAGCGAGUUCCCUUGACUCCAACCUCCCCACCGCCGCUCUGCCCCACACAUGGAGCCUCAGAGCCCCUCGUACUCGUGUGUCCCCUCCGCGCUUAUUGGCACUGGUGUCACACUCACCAGCCCCAGCAGAGCCAAGAACUUCUCCUUUCCCAUAGGAUAGCUGGGUUUGUACACACACACACACACACACACCUCCCUGCCAGGAGCAGCAGGGCCUGCAGGACCUGCAGGCACGGGGCAGGUGCAGCUGGGCGCUGCUCAUCGCCUUUGGGAGCUGCUGGAAUUGCACAUGCUGCUCGUGGCUGGAGCAGCCCCUUUGCCUCCCAGGUGUUAAAAGACCUUGGCCUUCAGUGGGAACAGGCUGAGCUCUGUGUUUGGAGCCCAGGUCGCUGUUGUUUUGUUUCCUUUGUGGUUUGCAGGUGCUCAGUGCUCCCUGUUCCCCAGCCUUGGGCACAGCCCUGAGCCCCUGGCUUUGCCUGCACCUCGCUGUCACAGCCUUGCAGUGACCACAGGGGAGGCUUGGGCCAGUCUUUGUUCCCACAGCAAGCUUGCCGGAUUUUUUUGGUUAUGUGUUAAUAUAUGUCUUUAUGCAAGCUUCUGACUGUGCCUGAUCCUCUGGAUUAAUUUUGUUCUGCUUUUUUUUGAGAAACCAUGGUCUGUCUGUUUGCGAUUUGCUCCUGAUUUUUUUAAGGCUUAUGAAGAUUUUUAUUCCCUUUGCAUUUCAGGUUUCAUUCCCCACAUAACUUCAUUCCUCCUAUUAAACCAACUUCUCAGUCACUGAAAGUUAUGAUUAAACAUAUUUUUAAAGGCUUAAUUCCCAGUUACACAGUGAUACUGACAGCUGUACAAUCAUCUUUGAAACACUCGUCCCCACCCAACCCCACCAAAAUAAUGUUUCUGGCAAUCUAAACCAACACUGCAGUUGUGGACACAACUGCAGUUGUGUGAGAAAUGAGAUUUAGGUGUACAAACCUUAAAUAUGGUACUUAAUGCACACUCACAGAUGUACCUGUUUACCUGUUACCUGAUUAAGGCUCAAGGAAAUGGAAGAAUUGGUGAAGAAUAAAGAUGAAAUUAAAAGUCAAGCCCAAUAUUCAUUUCGAUUGAAGCUAAUCUGUGCUGCUCACACUGGACCUUUCAAUGAGUUUGAAGGCAGAGGAGACAAUUUCAAAGGAGGAAGUCAAAGGCACAUGGGAGCAGCAGUUUAUGCUAUACCUGUGAUUGUGCUCACCCCAUGGAAGCCCCCUCUGAGCAUCUGUAGGUGGAUUAUGUUAAAUUUAAACCUCCACAUUAUCAAGUCUGAGCCUGUGUCACCCAACACUCACUUCAUGUCCAUGGGGGAAACAUGCAGCACAGAGGCAGAUACAUCUUUUCCCAGGGCAAGGGUCUAAAACAGCACAGCCAAAUCACCUCUGGAGGUGCCCCUUGUGUUCUACCCCCUGCCAAAGGAUCCAAAGAGAAUGGGCUUUGAACCAAAAAAUUUCCAGCUGCCUACUGCCAGGCAAGAUGAGCACCUGAGGCAGGGUGGAUAGGGCUCUGCUAAAUAAUAGUUCCUCUAUUUCUGAUGAGAUAAAAAAAUUCCUUCCAGUGAACUCCAGAAUUGCAGAGAACUCACCCAUCAUCUUUCUUUUGACCAUAAAUGAUAGCUUUUUCACUAAAUCACCUGGAAGGAAUUGCUACACUGAUAGUGGUACAGAGAACUGGGAUUCAGGACAGGUUUUAGCAGCCUGGAGCAUCCCUGAAUUUCAGUGCUACCAGCUAUCUCAUGGAUUUUCAGCCCUGCUGAGCAUCCUGCAGGGGCUCAAAGGGAGCUGAGUGUCUAAAGAGGGACAUUUAAGCAGGUGUGAGCACACACUCCUGCACACAGCUGCACAUGCCUGCAGCAUGGAGUGAAAUUUGACAGGAAGGGUUUGGCAAAUGGCAUUUAUAUUUGGGGGAAUGGUGAUCUGCAAAGGAAAGAUCUGCUCAGGGAGCCAAAUGCCUUUAGAAAUCAGGCAUGGUGUGCGGCUGAUUUUUUUUUUUUUUUUCCCAGUUGUUAAUUUAACCUUAUUUCUGUUUGUAGAACAAAUAAAUAAUUUCUGAACAAACAAAUCAGGGACCUGAAACCUGAGAGGUGUGGUACAUCAGCUCAGGGACUUGUGGUUAAGAAGUCCAAUAGAUUUUGAUAACAACUGGAAAUUGUUCAGUGGACUAGUGCCUAAAGCCAUUUUGGCUUCCAGUAAUGACAAGCUUGAGCUGCAGUGUCUUGGAGCCACAUUUCUCCCCCUGAGGAUGGUUGUUGCUUGUGUUGGGGUUGUGGCAGUGUCUCCAGGUGUUAGCCCAACCCCUUCUGAGCUCAGAGACAUCCUGACCUGGAAAACUGUGCAGAAAAGGGACUGCCUUUGCUUUUUUUCCAGAUUUUUGGCUGCAUUCCUCUCUGCCCAUGUCUGUAGUCCCUCCCUUUGCUCUACUGAUCCAUGAAGCGUGUUCAUCCUGGGGAUAAGGGGCAAAUGUAACUAAUUGCCUGAAUCCUGCCCAGAGCCAUAUCCUGUCUAGGCAUUUGGAGUCCAAAGGCUCCUGUGGAUCUUGUCUGACUUCAUCUCCUUCAGCAGGAGCUGACUCUUAUGCAAAGUUCACAAGAUGACAGAGAUGUUUCACUUGCAUGCCUGAGAAAAAAAAUUGUUUUGCUAAGACAAGAUAUACAUGUAUUUCUCCAGGGCUCUUUCCUUUAGAAGAAGCUGGCCUCAUGCUGAAGAUCAGAUGAAGUGUUUGGAUUCUCCUUAGGCCAUGUUUUGGCCAUCAAGGGGAAAGACCUCAGUGCAAAUGAUAACUGGUUACCCCAAGGGGCUGUGCCCUGUGCAUCCCUCAUGGGCACAGGACAGUCAGUCAGUUUGGAACUCUCCAUGGACUUGGCCAGGCUUUCAAUCAGGCACUAUACUAUUCAUCAGAGUAAUUAGCAAAGCUGUAACUAAAGUGGUCUCCAUGGAGAUUGACAGCAUCACCUCCCAGCUGGUACAUUCUCUGCCUCCUAUUCUAAAUUUGUUCUCACUGUUCCCCUGGCUCUAAUCCAUAAGGUUAGUGAAAUCUUCCAACAUUUGUGACACAUUACAGCAAUGGAAAGAGGGACAAAGGUGUCUGGGAGGGGGCUGAGAAAGAAAGAACCUGGUUGGUGCCUCAAGGAAAGCAGCAGGAACUGUUCAGACAUAUAUAGCCAGAGUUUUGAGAAUGGGAUUAGGCAGAACAGCACCUCUGCCUGCCUGUCACUUGCAAAUUCUUGCUAAUACUUUAGGAGCUUAUUGGAGGUCAGCACCAAACACCCAAACAGACUAAUCUGUAUUAUAGACACAUAAUCAAAGUCACAAGGUUUUACAUAAUAUAUAUCGGUGACACAAGAAGUGUUUGUUUGAAUAAUUUUGUCAUCAAGAUUAGUGGCUAUGAAAGCCUCUACUGUGCACUAACCUGGUUUUUAUGGUCAUGGGUACACCAGAUUCCUCAGACAAAUCAAAAAGGAGCUGAGAAAGUACACACACAUAUAUAUAUACACACACGUCCUGAAACAAUUACAGUAUUAAGUUUCUGACUAUAGCAAAGUUUAAAAACCAAAGUUUGUGUGUAUGUGUGUGUGUGUGAAUUAGAAAGGGCUGUGCUUAAAUCUUCAAUUUCAGAGACGUGAACAAAUGGCUGGAGAUACAAUUUUUGCAUGUAUCAUUUUUUCCCAAUGGUUUUUCAGUUGCAGUAAAUCACACCUCACACUCACACAUGGCUCUGAGGGAAUGGCAAGAAGUUGAGGUUUCAAAGAUAAAUUGAUGUCACUUGACCUACUUGAGAGCUUUAUAGUCCCUUUCUGGGAGGUGGAAGCUGUAGUACAUCGAGCGAGUGCUCUGGGCUCACAAAAGUCAGUGGCAAAGACAGGAACGGUUCCUGUGGAGAUCAUUCCAAACUGAGAAAUCUGACUGACUUCAAAAGAAAAUUAGUUAAUGGAAAUAUUUUGAAAUGUAUAGAAAAAUCUGAUUUUUCACUCUCAUAGAGCUUUUUAAGUAUGAUGUUACAGAAACAUAAAAUGUGUAAAAUUAUGAAAGAAGAAACACCACUUCCCAGAAAAAAAAAAAAAAAAAAAAAAAAA
rnacentral:lncRNA from 1 species